GCCGAGGUGACGAAAUUUGGCAACCGUACGCGGCUCAAAAUCGCGCGGGUGAAUAACCCUUGGGGGUUCGAGUCCCCCCCUCGGCA
rnacentral:tRNA from 1 species